ACACGUAGUUACUGUUGCUGCUAUUGUGUUUCACAGUUAAAUUAAAAAGCAGAAGAGUGCUUGAUAAUAAAUUCAGUGUAUUGAUUCGAGUGCUCAGUAACAGAGUUUAAUAUUAACAAAAUUAUAUGUUUAGGGCAAAUGUAUCUGAUAAAGAUCGUUCAAGUGAGAGUCUGACUCGCGGCGUAAUACAGCUUGUUUAAAGGUUGAAUACAAAUCGGUUAUUAAUCGUGGGUAGUACAGUAAUACAGUCUCCUCAACUAUGAUUUACAUGAUCGGUAAAAAUUUACCCAUAAAACGGGUAAAAUCGAUCAAUAACCGAAGCCCACAGCGCAUGCUCUACGCGGAAUUAGGAGGGGGGGGGGUUAAAGCGAGCUGCAGUGACCGCGCCCAGGUCGUGGCUAUAAAAGGUUUGUAUACUUUCCUGUUGUUUAAGCUGAUAGCGACAUCGAUACAAUGGCCUCUGGUUGUUUUCGAAAAAUUUCGUCACACUCUGUGACGACACCCAUUCUGUCCUGUUUCCUUGAUAUUUGCUCCCGCCUCCUCAUCCUGAUGAAAAUCCUCCUCCAUCCUGCUCAACGUCUAUGUAUGAAUCGAAGCAAAUGCAAGCAAGCAAAAACAAAUUCAAUUCAAAUGAAGAAGAAGAAAGAAGGAGAAGAGAAAAAUAAGACAUACCACCAGCCAGAUGAUAAAAUCUCUGGCCACCUGUGCACCAGGAAAACUCUCAACGAAUGCUUUAGAGAAGAUAGUCAAUGUUGGAUGAAAUAAUGAUUUUGAAGAAGAAUAAUUUUGUGAACAUUCAACUCCUGGUGCAUAUACCGUAUUACUGGAUGGUGGUAAAUGAUAAGACUUGGAAGACAUGGCUAAGGGUAUUGGAAAUACUUGUUCGAUAAACGCGUUGAAGAGAAAAAUCUAGCAGAAAAGACGAGAGCCUGAAGAAUAAGCUGAGAUUGAAGAGCCAGUUGGUGAACAAAGUAGCUUGGUCCUCUUACUAUGGCAACCGAGCAAUAUCAAUCACCAAAAACCAAAAACAAGUAGCCUCAUGCUCCGUCCCGCAGGCUCCGUCGAAAUAAGUCGAUUUGGCUAGCUUCUACACAGCCAGAUCUAACAUCUUAGCCAUCAAUACGAAAAAAAAAAAUGAAAUCAUGAUGAAAACCAAAAUUUUGUAAGUGAAAAAUCAUGAAAUCUUCACUUAAAGCAUUUAAAGGUAUUGAGUUGGAGGUAAUUUUUCAGGUUUCAGAAUGUAAUAUAUAAAAAACUUCACAAGGAAGUAAUAGUCCGUGUAUGAGUAAGAAGAACUAAGUAUAACAAAAUUGCGAUGAAGAAAUAUAAAAAAAGGGAAAAUUAAAAAAAAGAACUGAAUAGUUCUGAUCGCAAGAAACGGUUAUCAAGACCUGGUUAGGGAAAACCAGUUAAAGAGUAUUGAGGCAACAGGAGUUGUCUUGAUGCUAUCAUAAAGGAUCUGUAUGCUCAUUUGUGCAUGCGUUGGGGCAAGCCCUUAACGCGUUGCUCAAAAAAUAACCACAGGUAUUUAUGUUUUUUUAAUUACGUACGCGGUUAAGGCGAUUGCAUUCUUCUUCGGGAUCUCACAGUCUUUUCUUAGCUAUCACAAUAAGGAAUGAUUCGUACGUAUGGUUACAAUAUUUUUAUGUAACAUUCUAAAUUUAUUUUAGGGACUCUAAUAGUUAGAUUUUAAGACUAUUUGUUAAUAAGGUUUUACCAAAUUUGAAGGAGUAAUGUGGACGCACUGUACUUCACAGUCGUGUUCUAAUAGGAAUCCAAAUUUGGUUUUAAAUGAGUGGCAUGUCCCAAGUGAAAAGGGUAAAAAUUCUUUAAAAUUUCAAGUCUAAAAUAGGAGAAUAGAAUUAAGAACUUUUCGUUGUUUACAAAACAAUUUUCCCGGUGGUCGAAUUGUUAUGCUUACAGCUUGCUCUCCACCUAGUGGAAAGGACUUCGUGCUUCGGGAUACGAAAACGUCUGAAAAAUAAAUGUAGCAGUACCUCUGUACUCUACAUCUGAAAUAUCUGAAUCGCAAUAAGAAAAUGUGGCAAAUAUAAAAAAAAAAUAAAAAUGACAGAAUGAAACUUGCCACCGGAUAAGUAUAACAUUUAUAAAGGUAGGUAUUUAAACUAGCUUUAGAAGAGAGCUUUUAAAAGAGGUAAAGAAAACUCAUUGAAAUACACUCAAGAAAUGCAUCACUCUAUGGACUCUAACCAAAAAGAUUGGAGUAGACUAGAAGUUCCAAAAAAAAACAUUAACUACUACGAAGGAGUAGGGUUAACGAAUCCAGACAAAUAUUAAAUAAUAUAGAAGAAAAGCAGAAGAAAAUGAUGGGUCUCUUUAUUCGACAUGACUCAAUAAUACUAAUGUCAUAACAGGGCAGACAGAGGCGUGAAGAGGAAGAGAACGAUCAAGAAGAAAGUACAUAAUAGCCGAAGGAAAAGGCAAAUAUAUUAUUAAAGAAGAAAUACGGGAAAAUAUAGUAAAUAAUGACAAUGGAAAAUGACAAGUGCCAAGCAUCUAAAUAAAGUUGAUUAAUACAAAUGGUAUGCUGUGCUCCAGAAAAACUUAAUAAUAUGACUUAUGAAAUCUUCAAAGCAAUUUAAAAAAAAAACGGGGAACCUAUCAAAUUAGAAACAAAAGACUCUAAAACAAAUUGAGCAACUAGAGAGCUAAAGGAUAAUAUGGAAAAUUAGAAACAAAUAUUCAAGUAGUCUCCGACGUGCUUCGAGGUAUAAUUGUGGCUAAUGUGAUCCACAGAGCGGCGUGAAAAAUAUAUGUUGCGGUAAUGAAGUGCAACAUGUUCUGCGGUCAACGGGUUCGACGCGUCUGGUGAAUCUACAGAGCGGUUUAAAGGAGAUAUGGAUCAAAUUAAAAGAUUUCUUCGCAACGGAUAAAGAAGAUUAGGUCAGAAUAAAGUGUGUUAAAUUAAAAGUGGUACCUGUAGUACGUGUACAAGAGUAAGUCUUCAGGCAGGGGUAAGUUUUCAGUUUUUACCGCGUCCAGUCACAUGGCCAAAGAAUAAAUAAUCACAAUUAAUAUUGAAGGUAAAGUAAUUUUUUUAUAAAUUAUUUAAAACAGCAUGGCAAGAAGUGGCGAUACGAAAAUACCAACGACACUUUCAUAACUGACCUAGUUGUAAUGACUGACAUUUUGCUGGUUGCCAUUUUAAACUUUUUCCUUGAAUAUUUAAAGUUGAAUUUUGCAUUGAUAGUUUACACUUUGGCGGCUUGAAAGCUAAUAAAAUACUUUUAUGAAAAGACUUCACGUCGUAUGUCGUACAACGGUGUAAAAUUUACACAUGACAGAAGACUGUCAUUGGUAAAUUGUGUAUCCAUGUCGUGUGUUGUUAAACCUUUAUUUUCGUUCAUUGUAUAUGAAAAAUCAAUGAUCGCUCAUGACUUCUAUUAUUUAAAUACAUUUUGCGUUACAUAAAAUCUUUAAAUUUUUAAUAAAAAAAAAUAAUUUCAAUAAAUUGAUAAAAAAUAAAAAGACGCUAAAAAAUGCAAAUAUAAACAUAUUUUAAAAAUACAAGCGGUUUAUUUAUUGGUAAUCUUUUUCCAAUAAAGUACUUUAUUGGAUGUCUAUCUAUAAAAUAAAACCUAAAAAAAAUGAUUUUCUUUAAAACUUUUUUAACGGCUUUUAUAUAAAUUAUCGACUUCAACAAAAGGAGAAUGGUUAGUACCGGCGUGCUAUUCGCACGAAAUUAAAAAGCGGUCAAGUGUUACGUGGAGUUAAACUGCGCAGAACGAUCCCAAUUUUACACCAGUCUUGACUGACGUGUAACGCAUGAUAGGCGCCUUUUGCGUCUAAAUACAGGUGAAUAUAAUUCAAUUUAACCAAUUCACCUAAAAAAACAUUUGACUGAAAAAAAAAUAAAACAAAAAUACGUUUUUUUUUAAUAAAAUUACUGCGGCUUGCGGUGUUUUCCGCAGAACGGUCCCAAUUUUACGCCAGUCUUGACUGACGUGUAACGUAUGACAGGCGCCUUUUGCGUCUAAAUACAGGUGAACAUAAUUCAAUUCAACCAAUUCACCUAAAAAAAACAUUUGGCUGAAAAACAAUUCAAACAACAAUACGUUUUUUUAUAAAAUUACUGCGGCUUGCGGUGUUUUCCGCAGAACGAUCCCAAUUUUACACCAGUCUUGACUGGCGUGUAACGCAUGACAGGCGCCUUUUGCGUCUAAAUACAGGUAAAUAUACCUAAUUAAAUUCAACCAAUUCGCCAAAAAAACAUUUGAAAAAACAAAAAUUCAAAGAACAAUACGUUUUUUUAUAAAAUUACUGCGGCUUGCGGUGUUUUCCGCAGAACGAUCCCAAUUUUACACCAGUCUUGACUGUCGUGUAACGCAUGACAGGCGCCUUUUGCGUCUAAAUACAGGUGAAUAUAAUUCAAUUUAACCAAUUCACCGAAAAAAACAUUUGACUAAAAAAAAAUUCAAACAAAAAUACGUUUUUUUAUAAAAUUACUGCGGCUGGCGGUGUUUUCCGCUUGUUAAAAAAAAAAACAAACUAAACAAUUGGUAUUUAAAUUACUGAUAUAUAUUUUUGCUUUUCAAGCUGCCUCUGUGGUACCCAUGUGACUGCUCGCAAAAGAUUUAUCGCGGAACUGCCACUGAUUAUCGCUUAACGAGCAAAGGUAUCGAGAUUCGAUUAACAAAGUAAUAAGAAAUGUACUUAAUGUCAUUAUUUUCAUACUUCAUUUGUGUGGGUUCAUGGACGCAAAAUCAGUAUAUCACAUUGUCCAGACCCUCAAGUAUUUCAUGUCUCAUUAAAUCUAUAACCAAGUGAUCUAUGUAGAUUAAUGUAGAUGUAAAUUCAAACUCAUUCAUAACCUCAUUAUUUUUUGUCUCGACAUCACUUUUGACAAAAUUCUCAGUGUGCUUAUAUUGCGAAGAUUUAUGUGUUCGCUUCGCAAAGCUUAAAAUUUUCGAGUAGUUUUUUUCUCAUUAUUGCACCUUAACAUCGAAACAAUGUAAAAAUCGUAUUCAAUGUGGCAGAGUUAAUAAAUUUAUAGAUUUUCUAUUAAUGUACAUUUCUAUUAUUUUGACGUACCUUGGAUGUCCGGAUGGGGAUGCCCGUACAAUCGGGAAAGGUCUGUUACUAUGGCAACCCCGUGUGUCCCCUCCGGCGGCGCUUAGGGAUCCGUGACUAAACUUACUGACCACCAAAGUCUUCUAACGGCUGAAGACCCGAAGACUUGGAGUUUCUUAGAACUCUUGUUUUGUACUCAAGAUAGUACCUAAUACUAAUAUAUGUUCAAGGCGGCGCAAAUUGAAUUUUAAACUAUAAUUCUAAUACUUCUUGACAUUUUAAAAGGUUCCCGCUGAAAAUUACAAGGGAUACCUAGCAAAUUAACAAAAUAAACAUACUCGACUUGAUUUGAAUAUUUUUAGAAUAUUAUUGGAGUAGGUACCGUAAAAAAACGGUGAAUAUGUCAACUCCAGACCAUGGCCCAUAAAGUAAGGCGAAUAUUAUAUAGAGUCAAAUACGACACAAACGACGAAUAAAUAUACAAUAGUUCACCAAAACGCGCCAAGCCUUUAUAUUAAUAACAAUUAAAUGCUAAUAUUAUUUUUGGGCCAAUUAUUUGUAAAAUAUUGAUUUCAAAAGUCGUUGUGUCGUUGAGUAUACGAUCCUAAUCCAGGUUUUCCCCUUCAGGGCAACCGUGUUUCGAUAAGCUUAAACUCAUAAACUUCUAAAUUUAAUUGUCAAAGUGUGUUUUUCAUUUGUCAAAAUUUUUGAGGAUCGUGUACUAUCAAACGGGGUGAUUUAAAUCGGUUGAGAACCCGAUGGCUUCCAAAGCUCUGCACCCCGAUA